rnacentral:rRNA from 1 species
UCCGUAGACGGUAGUGUAAGUUAUUUGUUAAAUCCUAAAGCUCAACUUUAGAAAGCGUUUAAUACUACUUUACUUGAGUUUUGUUCAGAAGAGUAGAAUUCCAUGUUUAGGGAUAACCCCCUUAGAUAUAUGGAGGAACACCUGUAGCGAAGGCGAUUCUUUGGUAAAAAACUGACGUUGAGGGACGAAAGUGUAGGGAGCAAACA